rnacentral:rRNA from 1 species
AUGAACCGUGCACCCGAACGUGCGCAAGUGUUGCACGCUAGGCUUAUGGCCGUGCCACGCUUCAUAAGGUGUGACACCUUCCAGACUGCGUGUGGGCGCGCGAUUCAGCACAUACACGGCGGUUCUCACCGCCUCCGCCCAGAAGUACGCUGGCAUGUCCAUGCUCUUCAACAUGCAUCUGGCCAUGUCCACGACCAUCUGAUUUCUCCGCUCUACCACUCCAUUUUGCUGCGGCGAGUACGGAGCAGUUGUGUAGUGCUUGACACCAAUUUCUUCACAGUAGGCUUUGAACUCAUUGGAGUUAAACUCGCCCCCCCGAUCAGAUCUGAAUGCGCGCAACUUGCAGCUCCCGUCUGCCUCCGCGAGAGUUUGCACCUUUCUGAACCGUGCAAAGGCUUCGUCCUUGGAUUUGAGCAGCUCCAACCACAUGUAACGACUGUAGUCGUCCACAAUCAGCAGAAAAUACUUGCUUCCUCCAGGUGUGGUCGGCUCGAUCGGCCCGCAAAGGUCAGUGUGCACGAGCUCCAGCCCCGCUCUGCGCGGUAUGCGGCGACUUGUGGGAACGGCGUGCGAUGUUGCUUGCCGAGAGCGCACCCAUCACAGUAUUCUUCGACGCGGUCAAUCACUGGCAUGCCCCGCACCAUCUGCUUCGAUGACAUUGCACGGAGAGCACGGAAAUGCAAAUGCCCCAUGUGUGCGUGCCAACGCCAGGUCACGUCGUCUCCCAGUGCCAGCAAGCACCUGGGCUUGUCGAUCUCCAACGCCCCAGUGUACAGGCGAUUGCCAGAGCGACGAAUGUGUGCCAGUGUGCGCCGUCCUGGAUCCUGGAUGGUCAUCACACCUUCUUGUAUGUUGACGACACAGCCUGCUUCGUCUAGCUGUCCUACUGACACAAUAUUCGUGCGCAGGCUCGGGAUGUGGAAGACGCCCGUGAGCACGCGCUGCCCUCCGCCUUGGCAGCGGAACACCAUUGAGCCGCGCCCUUGUAUGGCCACUACAGAGCCGUCUCCGAACUUCACCGUGCCGUGCACUGUUUCGUCAAGUGACGCAAAGACUCCCCUGUCGCCCGUCAUGUGGCUACUGGCGCCGGUGUCGAAGUACCACACUCCGUCCGGCGAGGGCACUGGCAUGACCUUCUCUUCGUUGAGGAAGACUUCCUGCGGCGCAGCGAUCUGUGGCGUGGAAACGGUGGUGACCACAGCCAUAUACAGACCUAGGUCGUGCUCCGCGCCACCUUGCACCAGAUUAGCCUGCUCCUGGGUGCCUUUCUGCUCCUGCUCACGAAGCCACGUCCGGCACUCCUUUUUCCAGUGCCCCGGGAUGCCGCAGUGA